GACGAACGCUGGCGGCGUGCCUAAUACAUGCAAGUAGAACGCUGAAGGAGGAGCUUGCUUCUCUGGAUGAGUUGCGCACGGGUGAGUAACGCGUAGGUAACCUCCCUGGUAGCGGGGGGUAACUAUUGGAAACGAUAGCUAAUACCGCAUAAAAGUAGAUGUUGCAUGACAUUUUCUUAAAAGGUGCAAUUGCAUAACUACCAGAUGGACCUGCGUUGUAUUAGCUAGUUGGUGGGGUAACGGCUCACCAAGGCGACGAUACAUAGCCGACCUGAGAGGGUGAUCGGCCACACUGGGACUGAGACACGGCCCAGACUCCUACGGGAGGCAGCAGUAGGGAAUCUUCGGCAAUGGACGGAAGUCUGACCGAGCAACGCCGCGUGAGUGAAGAAGGUUUUCGGAUCGUAAAGCUCUGUUGUAAGAGAAGAACGAGUGUGAGAGUGGAAAGUUCACACUGUGACGGUAUCUUACCAGAAAGGGACGGCUAACUACGUG
rnacentral:rRNA from 1 species